GGGAUAAAGCGUCUAUAGUAUGAACACGCCCCUAUAAAACUUCUUACCUCCUUAACAGUAACAGGGUUUGGUAAUGUUUUUAUUGCUUCAACUUUGGCAUCGUCCGGUUUUACACCGUCGAUAUUGAUUUUAAAACCUAAAUAAUUAGUUUCUUCCUGCAAAAAUUGACAUUUCUUUAAUUUCAAUUUCAAAUUAUGUUGUCUUAAUCUGUCAAAUACUUG
rnacentral:lncRNA from 1 species